rnacentral:misc_RNA from 1 species
GUAGGUGAACCUGCGGAAGGAUCAUUAAUUAUCGGUAGUUUACUACCGUUUGAAGGGGGUGGAAAGUCUCCAGGGCUUCCUGGGGUCAAGUACACCCUGUUCUUAACCCUUGACUUUUUGCGCACUCAUGUUUCCUCGGUGGGCUUGCCUGCCGAAUGGACAAACCAAUAACCUAUUUAAUUUUUAAUCAGCGUCUGAAUUAUUUUAAUAAUUACAACUUUCAACAACGGAUCUCUUGGUUCUGGCAUCG